rnacentral:rRNA from 1 species
AGAGAUGUGUGAUGACGCAUAUCAAUAAGCGGAGGAAAAGAAACUAACUAAGGAUUCCCUCAGUAACGGCGAGUGAAGCGGGAAGAGCUCAAAUUUGAAAUCUUCAAGGUUCUACCUUGACGAAUUGUAGUUUAAAGAAGUGUUUUCUGUUGGAGUUUUGGUAAAAGUUCUUUGGAAUAGGACAUCAUAGAGGGUGAGAAUCCCGUAUUUGAUCAUUCCUUCUAGCUGUGUGAUACACUUUCAAUGAGUCGGAUUGUUUGGGAAUGCAGUCCAAAAUGGGUGGUAAAUUUCAUCUAAAGCUAAAUAUUGGCGAGAGACCGAUAGCGAACAAGUACCGUGAGGGAAAGAUGAAAAGAACUUUGAAAAGAGAGUUAAACAGUACGUGAAAUUGUCAAAAGGGAAGCGUUUGACACCAGUGUUGUUUUUCUCGAAAAUCAAUUACGAAUGUUUUGUUUUUGAGAAGUUAUGACUUCAUCGGCUUGCUUCUCUCUUUACGAAACUUUCUUAAUGCACUUUUCGGUUAACAAGUCAACAUCAAUUUCUUUUGUUGUAAAAGGGUAUGAGGAAGGUGGCUUUCUUUUCGGAGAAAGUGUUUAUAGCCUUGUACCUCUGCAAAUCGGAGAGAUUGAGGUCUGCAGCGUAGAUCCUUCGGGGUUAGAUACAUUUGUGCUAAGUUAUAGCUUUUCAUAGACAACUUGUUGACUAUGUUAAGUCUUGUAGCUUACUCGCUUAUGCUAUUUUACCUACGCUUAGGAUGUUGAUCUGUAGUGCGUGCGC